GGGGAAAUGCAAAGAAAUCACGAAGAACUUCCGAUUGGGAAGGCAGCCCUCCGGCCCGUCAACGACGCUCAUGCUUGAAGGCGGGGGGAUCAAACAGGAUAAGAUACCCUGGUAGUCCGCGCAGUAAACGAUGGACACUCGGGAUUUGGGCCUUUUGCCUGAGUCCCCCAGCGAAAGCGUUAAGUGUCCCACCUGGGGAGUACGCCGGCAACGGUGAAACUCAAAGGAAUUGACGGGGGCCCGCACAAGCGGAGGAACAUGUGGUUUAAUUCGAUGAUACGCGAGGAACCUUACCCGGGCUUGAAAUGUGACCGACGACCCCGAGAGACCGGGGUUUCCUUCGGGCGGUCAUGUAGGUGCUGCAUGGUUGUCGUCAGCUCGUGCCGUGAGGUGUCGGCUUAAGUGCCAUAACGAGCGCAACCCCUUCCGCCGGUUACCAUCGGGUCAUGCCGGGGACUCCGGCGGCACUGCCGCCGCAAGGCGCGAGGAAGGCGGGGAUGACGUCAAAUCAGCACGGCCCUUACGUCCGGGGCCACACACGUGUUACAAUGGGGGGCACAGCGAGCUGGGGCAUGGCGACAUACCCCGAAUCACGAAAUCCCCUCCCAGUUCGGACCGGAGUCUGCAACCCGACUCCGCGAAGCCGGAUUCGCUAGUAAUCGCGCAUCAGCCAUGGCGCGGUGAAUACGUUCCCGGGCCUUGCACACACCGCCCGUCAAG
rnacentral:rRNA from 1 species